rnacentral:rRNA from 1 species
GCAAGUCGAGCGGAAACGAGAAGUAGCUUGCUACUUCGGCGUCGAGCGGCGGACGGGUGAGUAAUGCUUAGGAAUUUGCCCAGUCGAGGGGGAUAACUAUUGGAAACGAUAGCUAAUACCGCAUACGCCCUACGGGUGAAAUGAGGGGACCUUCGGGCCUUCUGCGAUUGGAUAGGCCUAAGUGGGAUUAGCUAGUUGGUGAGGUAAUGGCUCACCAAGGCGACGAUCUCUAGCUGGUCUGAGAGGAUGAUC